GAUGAAGAACGCAGCGAAAUGCGAUACUUGGUGUGAAUUGCAGAAUCCCGUGAACCAUCGAGUCUUUGAACGCAAGUUGCGCCCGAAGCCAUUAGGCCGAGGGCACGCCUGCCUGGGCGUCACACGUCGUUGCCCCCCCAUCUACUCCUUCGGGAUUGCGGGGGGCGGAUGAUGGCCUCCCGUGCGCCUCGUCGCGCGGUUGGCAUAAAUGCCAAGUCCUCGGCGACGCACGCCUCGACAAUCGGUGGUUGCGAAACCUCGGUUGCCCGUCGUGUUCGGUCGUCGCGCAUCGAGGGCUCGAAAAAAUUGCCGGGCUCCGGCUCGGCUUUCAACGCGACCCCAGGUCAGGCGGGGUUACCCGCUGAAUUUAAGCAUAUCAAUAAGCGGAGGA
rnacentral:misc_RNA from 1 species